rnacentral:rRNA from 1 species
GGAUUAGAUACCCUGGUAGUCCACACGGUAAACGAUGAAUACUCGCUGUUUGCGAUAUACGGCAAGCGGCCAAGCGAAAGCGUUAAGUAUUCCACCUGGGGAGUACGCCGGCAACGGUGAAACUCAAAGGAAUUGACGGGGGCCCGCACAAGCGGAGGAACAUGUGGUUUAAUUCGAUGAUACGCGAGGAACCUUACCCGGGCUUAAAUUGCACUCGAAUGAUCCGGAAACGGUUCAGCUAGCAAUAGCGAGUGUGAAGGUGCUGCAUGGUUGUCGUCAGCUCGUGCCGUGAGGUGUCGGCUUAAGUGCCAUAACGAGCGCAACCCUUGUUGUCAGUUACUAACAGGUGAUGCUGAGGACUCUGACAAGACUGCCAUCGUAAGAUGUGAGGAAGGUGGGGAUGACGUCAAAUCAGCACGGCCCUUACGUCCGGGGCUACACACGUGUUACAAUGGGGGGUACAGAGGGCCGCUACCACGCGAGUGGAUGCCAAUCCCUAAAACCCCUCUCAGUUCGGACUGGAGUCUGCAACCCGACUCCACGAAGCUGGAUUCGCUAGUAAUCGCGCAUCAGCCACGGCGCGGUGAAUACGUUCCCGGGCCUUGUACACACCGCCCGUCAAGCCAUGGGAGCCGGGGGUACCUGAAGUGCGUAACCGCGAGGAUCGCCCUAGGGUAAAACUGGUGACUGGGGCUAAGUCGUAACAAGGUAGCCGUACCGGAAGGUGCGGCUG